rnacentral:rRNA from 1 species
GAUGAACGCUGGCGGCGUGCCUAAUACGUGCAAGUCGAGCGAACGGACGAGAAGCUUGCUUCUCUGAUGUUAGCGGCGGACGGGUGAGUAACACGUGGAUAACCUACCUAUAAGACUGGGAUAACUUCGGGAAACCGGAGCUAAUACCGGAUAAUAUUUUGAACCGCAUGGUUCAAAAGUGAAAGACGGUCUUGCUGUCACUUAUAGAUGGAUCCGCGCUGCAUUAGCUAGUUGGUAAGGUAACGGCUUACCAAGGCAACGAUGCAUAGCCGACCUGAGAGGGUGAUCGGCCACACGGGAACUGAGACGCGGUCCAGACUCCUACGGGAGGCAGCAGUAGGGAAUCUUCCGCAAUGGGCGAAAGCCUGACGGAGCAACGCCGCGUGAGUGAUGAAGGUCUUCGGAUCGUAAAACUCUGUUAUUAGGGAAGAACAUAUGUGUAAGUAACUGUGCACAUCUUGACGGUACCUAAUCAGAAAGCCACGGCUAACUACGUG